rnacentral:rRNA from 1 species
CCUACGGGGGGCAGCAGUGGGGAAUAUUGGACAAUGGGGGGAACCCUGAUCCAGCCAUGCCGCGUGUGUGAAGAAGGCCCUCGGGUUGUAAAGCACUUUCAGUGAGGAAGAACGCCUGGUGGUUAAUACCUAUCAGGAAAGACAUCACUCACAGAAGAAGCACCGGCUAACUCCGUGCCAGCAGCCGCGGUAAUACGGAGGGUGCGAGCGUUAAUCGGAAUUACUGGGCGUAAAGCGCGCGUAGGUGGCUUGAUAAGCCGGUUGUGAAAGCCCCGGGCUCAACCUGGGAACGGCAUCCGGAACUGUCAAGCUAGAGUGCAGGAGAGGAAGGUAGAAUUCCCGGUGUAGCGGUGAAAUGCGUAGAGAUCGGGAGGAAUACCAGUGGCGAAGGCGGCCUUCUGGACUGACACUGACACUGAGGUGCGAAAGCGUGGGUAGCAAACAGGAUUAGAUACCCCGGUAGUC